rnacentral:rRNA from 1 species
AGAGUUUGAUCCUGGCUCAGAAUCAACGCUGGCGGCGCGCUUAACACAUGCAAGUCGAACGAGAAAGGGGAGCAAUCCCUGAGUACAGUGGCGUACGGGUGAGUAACACGUGGGUAAUCUACACUUGAGUGGGGAAUAACUCUGGGAAACCGGAGCUAAUACCGCAUAAGCCUGAGAAGGGAAAGCCGAAAGGCGCUGAAGGAGGAGCCCGCGGCCGAUUAGCUAGUUGGUGGGGUAAAGGCUCACCAAGGCGAUGAUCGGUAGCCGGCCUGAGAGGGCACACGGCCACACUGGCACUGGGAUACGGGCCAGACUCCUACGGGAGGCAGCAGUGGGGAAUCUUGCACAAUGGAGGAAACUCUGAUGCAGCGACGCCGCGUGAGCGAUGAAGCCCUUCGGGGUGUAAAGCUCUUUCGACGGGAACGAUAAUGACGGUACCCGGAGAAGAAGCUGCGGCUAACUACGUGCCAGCAGCCGCGGUAAUUC